CACAGCACCCUGUCUGGGUGCUGGUUCAUUUUCUGAAACUUUUAGUGAUUCCUAAACCCGAAAUCGUGAUACGAGGGAUAGAGAAGUAUGGAAACAGGUAUUGUUAAAUGGUUCAAUAAUGCAAAGGGCUUUGGAUUUAUUUGCCCGGCCAGCGGGGGCGAUGACAUAUUCGCUCACUAUUCAACCAUUCAAAUGGAUGGUUAUAGGACGCUGAAAGCUGGGCAAAAAGUGAAUUUCAGUGUUGAUCAAGGUCC
rnacentral:sRNA from 1 species